rnacentral:rRNA from 1 species
UACGAAGGGGGCUAGCGUUGCUCGGAAUCACUGGGCGUAAAGGGCGCGUAGGCGGCGUUUUAAGUCGGGGGUGAAAGCCUGUGGCUCAACCACAGAAUUGCCUUCGAUACUGGGACGCUUGAGUGUGGUAGAGGUUGGUGGAACUGCGAGUGUAGAGGUGAAAAUUCGUAGAUAUUCGCAAGAACACCAGUGGCGAAGGGCGGCUCACUGGCCCGAUACUGACGCUGAGGCACGGAAAGCGAUGGGGAGCAAAGCUAGGG